UAGGGAAUCUUCCGCAAUGGACGAAAGUCUGACGGAGCAACGCCGCGUGAGUGAAGAAGGAUUUCGGUUCGUAAAACUCUGUUGUUAGGGAAGAAAAAAUGUAUAGUAACUAUAUACAAAAGAGACGGUACCUAACCAGAAAGCCCCGGCUAAAUACGUGCCAGCAGCCGCGGUAAUACGUAUGGGGCGAGCGUUGUCCGGAAUUAUUGGGCGUAAAGGGUACGUAGGCGGUCUAUUAAGUCAGGUGUGAAAGCGUGAGGCUUAACCUCAUUAAGCACUUGAAACUGAUAGACUUGAGUGAAGGAGAGGAAAGUGGAAUUCCUAGUGUAGCGGUGAAAUGCGUAGAUAUUAGGAGGAAUACCGGUGGCGAAGGCGACUUUCUGGACUUUUACUGACGCUCAGGUACGAAAGCGUGGGGAGCAAACAGG
rnacentral:rRNA from 1 species